ACUUACAAAAUUUAAGAUCAGAAUUUUGCUUUGAAGCAGCAAGGGUGGCAAAUUUGCCUAUAAGUA
rnacentral:tRNA from 1 species